rnacentral:rRNA from 1 species
AUUGCCUAGUACGGCGAGUGAAGCGGCAACAGCUCAAAUUUGAAAGCUGGCUCCGGCCCGCAUUGUAAUUUGCAGAGGAUGCUUUUGGCGAGGUGCCUUCCGAGUUCCCUGGAACGGGACGCCAUAGAGGGUGAGAGCCCCGUAUGGAUGGACACCAAACCUGUGUAAAGCUCCUUCAACGAGUCGAGUAGUUUGGGAAUGCUGCUCUAAAUGGGAGGUAAAUCUCUUCUAAAGCUAAAUACCGGCCAGAGACCGAUAGCGCACAAGUAGAGUGAUCGAAAGAUGAAAAGCACCUUGAAAAGGGGGUUAAACAGUACGUGAAAUUGUUGAAAGGGAAGCAUUUAUGACCAGACUUGCGCCGGGCAGCUCAUCAGGGGUUCUCCCCUGUGCACUCUGCCCGGCUCAGGCCAGCAUCGGUUCUCGUGGGAGGAUAAGAACAGUGGGAACGUGGCCCCCCUCCGGGGGGGUGUUAUAGCCCAUUGUACGAUACUCUCGUGGGGACCGAGGUUCGCGCUCCGCAAGGAUGCUGGCGUAAUGGUCAUCAAUGACCCGUCUUGGC